rnacentral:lncRNA from 1 species
CUUGUCUAUGUUUAUUUCCUAGGCUGCCAUAACAAAGUGCUCCAAGCUGCAUCAUUAAAACACUGGUAUUUAUAUUCUCAAAGUUCUGGAGGCCACAAGUCUGAAAACAAGGUGCUAGUCCGGUCAUGCUCACAUUAAAGUGCCUAGGAAAGGAUCUUUAAACUUCCUCGUCCUGCAGGUGUAUCACCUGUUCUCUGUUUCCAACUUUGUAUGGUGCGUGUUCCUCCCCAUGACUGCUGUCUCUAUGCCUGUUCUUAUAAGGACACCAUUCAUAUUACAUAAAGGGCCCACCCUCCUCCAUUGUGAGCUCAUCUUAACUAAUUAUGUCUGCAGCAACACUAUUUUGAAAGAAGAUCAAAUUCUGAGAAAGAUAGGAAUUUUAGCAGGUACUAUUCAACCCACUAUACCACUAUGGAUAAAAUUUCUAAGUAAAGACCAAGGCACAACAACGUAA